GAAUGCUGACAUAAGUAACGAUAAAGCGGGUGAAAAGCCCGCUCGCCGGAAGACCAAGGGUUCCUGUCCAACGUUAAUCGGGGCAGGGUGAGUCGACCCCUAAGGCGAGGCCGAAAGGCGUAGUCGAUGGGAAACGGGUUAAUAUUCCCGUACUUGGUGUUACUGCGAAGGGGGGACGGAGAAGGCUAUGUUGGCCGGGCGACGGUUGUCCCGGUUUAAGCGUGUAGGUGUGUGUUCCAGGUAAAUCCGGUUCACUUUAACACUGAGGCGUGAUGACGAGGCACUAC
rnacentral:rRNA from 1 species